rnacentral:rRNA from 1 species
AAUAGAUACCCCUGGUAGUCCUGGCCCUAAACGAUGUCCACUAGAUCGUGGCGGCUCUGACGUCGUCACGGUCGAAGCAAAAGUGCUAAGUGGACCGCCUGGGAAGUACGGUCGCAAGGCUAAAACUCAAAGGAAUUGACGGGGGCUCACACAAGCGGUGGAGCAUGUGGUUCAAUUCGAAGCAACGCGCAGAACCUUACCUGGGCUUGACAUGCUAGGAUUAUCUCUAUGAAAGUAGAGUAGGCCCUUCGGGGUACAACUAGUACAGGUGCUGCAUGGCUGUCGUCAGCUCGUGUCGUGAGAUGUCGGGUUAAGUCCCUUAACGAGCGAAACCUUUGCCCUUAGUUACCAGCGGGUUAUGCCGGGGACUCUAAGGGGACUGCCGGUGUCAAACCGGAGGAAGGUGGAGAUGACGUCAAGUCCUCAUGGCCUUUAUGCCCAGGGCCACACACGUGCUACAAUGCGGCGCACAGAGCGAACCGAGAGCGCAAGCUGGAGGAAAUCGCACAAAUCGCCGCCCAGUUCAGAGU